UACACACGAUGAAAGUACCAGCAGUGCUUUCGGAGUAAACCAUCUUUUACUAAAAAUUUGAGAAAGAUUUGUGAAAUUAAUUCAUCUAUGCGGCGAAGUUCAGACCAAUCAAACUACUGUCUUCCUUUAUCUGAAGAGGGUCCGGCUGCCUGCAGGUUUGUUGCUGUGAUUGCGCCUGUCCGUUAGCCUUAGCACGGCCCUGAGAGCUGCAGGUACUGACAGUGAGGUGAGCUGACCACCAGACCAAGCUCGGACUAACUGUGAAGCUCCUGCAUCCUGCUUUUGCCCAGGACCUGGGAGCACUUUGAGCUGCUGAGAGUUUGAAGGUGUUUGGGAUGGUAAGGUUAAUAUUAACAGAAUCUUAACCCAUCCUUGACUGCAACAAGGAAAUGCAAAGUGUGUAACCGGUGAAACCCACUGCAGGCGUGUCUGGCUCCCGCCGUGAUGGUGCAGGGUGGGUGACCAGUAGUUUUCCUAUUGGUGGUCACGGGAUGAAGAACACGGGGG